CCUACGGGUGGCAGCAGUGAGGAAUAUUGGUCAAUGGGCGAGAGCCUGAACCAGCCAAGUCGCGUGAGGGAGUACUGCCCUAUGGGUUGUAAACCUCUUUUGUCGGGGAGCAAAAGCCGGACGUGUCCGGCUGUGAGAGUACCCGAAGAAAAAGCAUCGGCUAACUCCGUGCCAGCAGCCGCGGUAAUACGGAGGAUGCGAGCGUUAUCCGGAUUUAUUGGGUUUAAAGGGUGCGCAGGCGGAUUUUUAAGUCAGCGGUAAAAUCGUGGGGCUCAACCCCAUCCAGCCGUUGAAACUGGGGAUCUAGAGUGUGCGAGAGGUAUGCGGAAUGCGUGGUGUAGCGGUGAAAUGCAUAGAUAUAACGAAGAACCCCGAUUGCGAAGGCAGCAUACCGGUGCACAACUGACGCUCAGGCACGAAAGCGUGGGUAUCGAACAGGAUUAGAUACCCCUGUAGUC
rnacentral:rRNA from 1 species